rnacentral:snRNA from 1 species
AUCGCUUCAUGUGUAGUAUCUGUUCUUUGCAGUGUAAUUUCUGCAACGGUCCCUAAUUUGGGACCAAUGAAA